CCCCAAAAUGGCUAUCGCCGCGACGGCGCUGCUGGCGCUGCUGCUGGUCGCCUACGUCUUUUCCGGCGGCGGGGGCGCCAGCCCGCAGGAAGAGCGACUCAUUACGGACCUCAAAGCCGAAGAUUUGAUGACCAACGAGGUUGUGGCAGACGGGAAUGAGGCCAC
rnacentral:misc_RNA from 1 species